UCAACCACUGCUCCAAAUCACCAAGUUCUUUCUUCUGCUACAACAAUAAAUGCUUUCAUCGCCGGUACCAAUUCUGAUCACGUUACAUAGAACAACCCAAUAACCUUCCCUUCUAAUUCUUCAACCAACACCGUACCAACAUCGCCGGCUCCGCCUCCUAGUUAUGCUUUUGCAGCCCAUGCCCCUUACGUCCCGCCACCGCCUCGUCCCACCACAUUUCCUUUCUCGUCCUACAGUUUCCACAAUUUAUUUAUGCCUCG
rnacentral:misc_RNA from 1 species